GAUGAACGCUGGCGGCGUGCCUAAUACAUGCAAGUCGAGCGAAUGGAUUAAGAGCUUGCUCUUAUGACGUUAGCGGCGGACGGGUGAGUAACACGUGGGUAACCUGCCCAUAAGACUGGGAUAACUCCGGGAAACCGGGGCUAAUACCGGAUAACAUUUUGAACCGCAUGGUUCGAAAUUGAAAGGCGGCUUCGGCUGUCACUUAUGGCUGGACCCGCGUCGCAUUAGCUAGUUGGUGAGGUAACGGCUCACCGAGGCAACGAUGCGUAGCCGACCUGAGAGGGUGAUCGGCCACACUGGGACUGAGACACGGCCCAGACUCCUACGGGAUGCAGCAGUAGGGAAUCUUCCGCAAUGGACGAAAGUCUGACGGAGCAACGCCGCGGGAGUGAUGAAGGCUUUCGGGUCGUAAAACUCUGUUGUUAGGGAAGAACAAGUGCUAGUUGAAUAAGCUGGCACCUUGACGGUACCUAACCAGAAAGCCACGGCUAACUACGUGCCAGCCGCCGCAGUAA
rnacentral:rRNA from 1 species